rnacentral:rRNA from 1 species
AUUACUCCUACGGGAGGCAGCAGUAAGGAAUAUUGGUCAAUGGAGGGAACUCUGAACCAGCCAUGCCGCGUGCAGGAUGACUGCCCUAUGGGUUGUAAACUGCUUUUGUACGGGAAUAAACACUGAUACGUGUAUCAGCUUGAAUGUACCGUAAGAAUAAGGAUCGGCUAACUCCGUGCCAGCAGCCGCGGUAAUA